rnacentral:rRNA from 1 species
GAUGAACGCUGGCGGCGUGCCUAAUACAUGCAAGUCGAGCGAACGGACGAGAAGCUUGCUUCUCUGAUGUUAGCGGCGGACGGGUGAGUAACACGUGGAUAACCUACCUAUAAGACUGGGAUAACUUCGGGAAACCGGAGCUAAUACCGGAUGAUAUUUUGAACCGCAUGGUUCAAAAGUGAAAGACGGUCUUGCUGUCACUUAUAGAUGGAUCCGCGCUGCAUUAGCUAGUUGGUAAGGUAACGGCUUACCAAGGCAACGAUGCAUAGCCGACCUGAGAGGGUGAUCGGCCACACUGGAACUGAGACACGGUACAGAAUCCUACGGGAGGCAGAAGUAGGGAAUCUUCCGCAAUGGGCGAAAGCCUGACGGAGCAACGCCGCGUGAGUGAUGAAGGUCUUCGGAUCGUAAAACUCUGUUAUUAGGGAAGAACAUAUGUGUAAGUAACUGUGCACAUCUUGACGGUACCUAAUCAGAAAGCCACGGCUAACUACGUG